rnacentral:rRNA from 1 species
GACGAACGCUGGCGGCGUGCUUAACACAUGCAAGUCGAACGAACGGAUAAGAAAAGCUUGCUUUUCUUAGAAGUUAGUGGCGGACGGGUGAGUAACGCGUGGGCAAUCUACCCAUAAGAUCGGAAUAACUACGGGAAACCGUGGCUAAUACCGGAUAGUAUCUUAGAACCGCAUGGUUUAAAGAUGAAAGGAGGCCUCUGUAUAGAAGCUCGCGCUUAUGGAUGAGCCCGCGUCCCAUUAGCUAGUUGGUGAGGUAACGGCUCACCAAGGCGACGAUGGGUAGCCGGCCUGAGAGGGUGAUCGGCCACACUGGGACUGAGACACGGCCCAGACUCCUACGGGAGGCAGCAGUGGGGAAUCUUCCGCAAUGGGCGCAAGCCUGACGGAGCAACGCCGCGUGAGUGAUGAAGGCCUUCGGGUUGUAAAACUCUGUCUUUAGGGAAGAAGUCAUGUAUGCGAAUAGUGUGCAUGGUGACGGUACCUGAGGAGGAAGCUCCGGCUAAC